rnacentral:rRNA from 1 species
AACGAACGCUGGCGGCAGGCCUAACACAUGCAAGUCGAGCGAAGCCUUCGGGCUUAGCGGCGGACGGGUGAGUAACGCUUGGGAACGUGCCCUUUGGUACGGAAUAGCCCCGGGAAACUGGGAGUAAUACCGUAUGUGGUCGAGAGACGAAAGAUUUAUCGCCAAAGGAUCGGCCCGCGUUGGAUUAGGUAGUUGGUGGGGUAACGGCCUACCAAGCCGACGAUCCAUAGCUGGUUUGAGAGGAUGAUCAGCCACACUGGGACUGAGACACGGCCCAGACUCCUACGGGAGGCAGCAGUGGGGAAUCUUAGACAAUGGGGGAAACCCUGAUCUAGCCAUGCCGCGUGAUCGAUGAAGGCCUUAGGGUUGUAAAGAUCUUUCAGUGGGGAAGAUAAUGACUGUACCCACAGAAGAAGCCCCGGCUAACUCCGUGCCAGCCGCCGCCGUAAUAC